rnacentral:rRNA from 1 species
UACGGGGGGGGGCAAGCGUUGUUCGGAAUUACUGGGCGUAAAGGGCGCGUAGGCGGUUGGAUAAGUCAGCUGUGAAAACCACGGGCUUAACUCGUGGCCUGCAGUUGAGACUGUCUGGCUUGAGUGUGGGAGAGGAGAGUGGAAUUCCUGGUGUAGCGGUGAAAUGCGUAGAUAUCAGGAGGAACACCGGUGGCGAAGGCGGCUCUCUGGACCACAACUGACGCUGAGGCGCGAAAGCUAGGGGGAGCAAACAGG